AUGGGUGCUGUCCCCACUACAGAGCUCCCUCUGGUUGAGGCAGAAGCCACUGGCUGGGCCUUUCUAGCCACCUUUCACCCCCCUUGCACACGGGAAGCCCCGCAGGCUCCUGACCGCAAUGGGAUCCUGACGCCGGAGCCCCUUAGGCCCUUUGCUCAGAAGGCCUCUGGUUAUUACCUCAAUUCUGAACAGCCAGGAGGCCUGAGACUGUCACCCACUUUGAUAAAUACAGACUGACAGAAAGGUCAGGCCAUUGGUGCAAGACCCCAUGGCCAGCAGCCUGGGGCGGGGAGAACCCGGGGGUCUCACAGCCCCCAGCAGAGCCCAGCUUUCCUUGGGUUUUUGGGUUCUUCCCCAAUGAUAUUUUCCCUUUUUCCCUCUCUACCCACUUUCUGCCCCCCAUCUUCUCCCCUUUGGCUGCCCGCUCUCUCCCUGCCCCUCUCCCCUUCUUUGCCCUCUUUCCUCUCCCAGGAGCUCCCCUGCCAGGACCUCGGUGCCGUGGAGACUGCGGGGAACCUGCUCUGCCCACACCUGCUCUGGCCCCUGGACGGAAGCACCUGGAGCCAACCACGGAACUCCAGAUCCCAGCUGUGUGACUGAAUCCACGCCAGCCUCUCUGAGCCAAAGCUGCUUGCAGAAGGGGGAGAUCCCAGUUCGAAGACUCCCGCGCAGAGCCUGUGGCCCUCUCUGCCAGGCCUCAGGGUGCCUGAGACACUCACCUCUCUGCCUCUGCAGUUGGCGCUGAGGCUGGGGCUGGCCGCCAGCCUCAGUUCUGGGAGCGCUGGGGUCGCCUGGGCCACAGGCCGCAGCAGCUCACCUCAGGACUGGGCUCUCUGGCCUGCUGGGGCUCAGGCUGUGGGGCAGGCUGGGCAGGGGGCUGAGCUGGCAGCGAUUCAGAGCCCUGGGGCUGGGGGCUGGAAUCCACCUCCUCCCACACAAGCUCGGUGGUGACUCUUCGGCCCCUGGGGAAAAACAAAAAGAUAUUGCUGAGAUGACCUCUUUUAAAAGCAAAGCCCCCCCUCCCCAUACACCCCAAGCCUGAGCCCUGUGCCAUCCCCCUCCCCGGGUUCCUUCAGGUCACCUUGUCAGGAUUUGGGCAGCGGCUCCCCCUCUAGCCCCUCCCCCGCCUAGAGCUCCCGUUUUCAAAGUAUAAGGGAGGGAAGAAGUGGUGAGAAGUUUGCCUAGAAAGGGCUUCCCGGUGCUGAUGGAGAGGCCGAGACCCUUCUGUUGGACAGCUGCCCUGUUCCUGGGUGAGGAUGGGCUUCUGCCUGGCACUGGGGGUGGAGGGUGCACACGAAUGGCCCGCCUUGAGGGGUCAUGGCACAGAAUAUGAAAGCCUCCUCCACCUCCAAACACCCCCACCUUGGAAGGAGAUAAGGAGGGGGCCCCAGCAAAAGCCACUGGACACACAGCUCUGCUUGACGAGGCCAGUGAGGGAGGGGGUGGCUGUGCUUCCUGGGGAAAUGAACCCCCGCCCCACAGACACCACCCUGGGUGGAUUGAGGAGUCUGGGUCCAGGGUGCAACAGAGAAAAACUUCAUGCAUGAAUGAGCAUUCCCAGGGAAACUGCCUUGGCCCCAGGGCCCCUCUCUGUGCCAGGGAGGCUGGGAGGGCAGCAAGGGGGACCAGGUGCGCCAUCAGGAGGAGAGAAGCUAAACCUAGGGGGACAUGGAGGGCCGUUGUUGCCUCUCCCGGCAUUUCUCCUCAGUCUCCUGUCCAAUUUCUUGCUGGUGGUCAGGAGGCAUAGGGAGGCAGGAGGGAAGGAAGCUUUACCUUUAAAAUGGUGUAUAUAUAUAUAUAUAUAUAUAAAUAAAAUAUCUGCGCCAGAA